ACCACACCCCCUCCCUCAGCCAUUGUGCUCUUCUAACACUGUCUCUGUUAUUGCAUAACAAAUUCCCACCAAACGUGGUAGCUAAAACAACAAUAAACAUUUAUGACCUCACAUGGUUUCUGAGGGACAGGAAUUCAGGAGUGGCUAGGCUAGGCUGCUCUGGCUCAGGUCCUUUCAUUAGCUCCAGUCCAGAUGUCAGCAGGACUGCAGUCAGCUGAGGGUGUGAGUGGGACUGGAGGUUCCACAUCCAAUAUGGCUCCCUCACGGGGAAGGCAGGGAAGGAGACGGUGGCGGCUUAGCCCUGGGCACAGGUCCCAGGGGGCUGGCUUCCCAGCGACAGGCUGGAUUCCGCACCCUGACGACAUCCUCUGCUUUGGGGAGGACCUAGCAGCUACUUGGGAAAGGAGGAAACUCAGUACUUUAUAGGCUGGAAAUUAAAAAACCAAGAUACCAGCUGGAAUAUACUCACGCAAGGGGAACCGUGAGAGGAGAGAUCAUCCUGGCCCAUUUGGUGGGCUGAAUGGAGUGACCUGUGCUAGGAACCCCCUUGACACCUCGGGGGCCUCUUCAGACUGAGAGCGGCGUCCUGACAGGACAAACCCACACCUGGGAGGUGAAGCACUGAUCUCAGGUCGCACCGACUCACACGGCAACACUCAUUCAUCACCCUGCGAGCUGAUUUCAGGGCACCACUUACGGAUCUCAGAGUCCAAUUCCAGACCCUUCAACCCAACGUUCCCAUGGGGGAGGGCUCUGCUAGGAGCCACGCCUGUCCGGGUUGCCAGACGCAUUUGGCAGACAGAGUACCUACAAUUCCACUGUUGUUACCGAGGCGAAUAAGAAUUUAUUGAUCCUGGCAGCUUUGACAGUCUCAAGAGUCCUGCAAGCUCUGAAUGUCACCUCUUCCGGGAAGCAGACCCUAAUUCCCAAGGCGCUGGCCUCCCCCUCCCCCACAGCCUCCUGUACAUGCCUUCUUUCACAUACUGGUCUGCAAUGUGUCUCACUCCCCACUCGGGGCCCUCAGGAUGGCAUCUGGGCCUCAGUAAACACUAAAUAUUGUGGCAUCAACAUCGCCACUCCAGGACACUCGGAGGCUUCAGGGAAGAUGAGGCUGGGAGCCAGUGGAGGAUGGGCGGCCAGUGCUCUCAGCAAUCCUCACCCUGCCUCGAGGCCCUGGGCAGGCCGCUUGCUCACGAGGGACUCCGUGUCCUCCGGACCUCAGCCUGGGCACGGGGCUGUGCUCAUCAGGGUCGCACGUGGGUGGACCCCGGCUGUGGGAGGGCCCAGCACGGCACCCAGAGCACCUGCCCUGGGUGCGUACACAGGCAGGAAGCAGGAGUUGAAACCUGCCAGCUGGGUCUUCAUGACCAACCCCGGGCAGUUUCUGCUCGGGGCACUUCAUAGCUUGGGAUUCUAGCCCGUCGAUGGCUCAAAGGCAGAGUUCUGGGUGGUUCUGUUUCCAGGCCAGGAGCCACCCCACCCCGCCCCCCGCCCCCAGCCUCCAGCUUGGGAGUUCCUAGACAUCAGUGCCCCACCUGGGCCAUUGCACCUGCUCCCAGCAUAGCCCUGGAGAGCUCAGCAAAGGCUGGGCCGGUGCUUUCCAUGAACCACGAAAGUUUUUAGCUGAUGACCGGAGUGAUUUGUAUCCAUUAUGGGAACAUUGGGAAACACAUAACAGCAAAAAAUAAAAUAAUUGAAAAUAAACGUCACCUAUAAUCCCAAUUCCACCAGCUACGAAUGUACAUUUCUUCCAUUCCGGAAAACUUCCUUCCAGGCUUUUCUAUGCCUCUAUGCUUAAAAAAAAAAAAAAAUGUGGAUUCUGUUGAGCCCUGUUUCAUACCUGCUGAGCUGGCAUGGCUCUACAGGCUAUUAUGUCUCCAAACCAUUAAAACUCCUCACGUUUGCUAACAACACCCCGGGCACAGCCAUGCCACAUCCCCUGAUUUAGGGAACCCCUAUUGUUGGGCACUGGGGUUGUUUCUAAUUUUUCUUUAUUUUACCCAAUCCUCCACGACGACCCUUGUGGCCAUAUUUUCAUGACCUUCCUCAGAGCAGAUUAAGACUUUAGAGGCCCCUGAGUGAGCCCUGGCAACAUUUGGUGCACUCCGCCUGCCCCUCCCCCCACCCCACAAGAUGCAAUAUUAAAUACAAGCAAUAAAAUAAGGAUAAGGACAUCUGGCAAAGUUCUGGUGUUGCCCUGAUGCAUUAUGCCUCGUUUGAAGUAUUGAAUUCACUUUUAAAUUUAUAUUUUGCUCAUUUGGAAGGGGAUACACCUGCUUUGCUGGCACCCCCCAGCACGGAUUGGGGGCUCCCGACGGCACUUACGACUCUUACCUUACAGUAAUUUUUAGGGAGAGAAAUAUCAGGGUUAAGGGUUCUCCGUAUGUGAGGCUUUUCGGUCCAUGUGUCUGUCCUCGCCCACCGUGGAAUCCAUGACCUGUCACACACCUGCACUCAGCUCUCUGGUGAAUGACUGAUGAUUGCCAAAUGCCCCCCAACCCCCUCACCCCCCUCAUAAACUGUGCUGUUGGAGCUGGUAUGUGAUUAAAUGGAUACACGACACGUAGGACCAUCUUGGAAGCAGACAUCUUGGGCCCUCAGGUGGGUCUGAGUCCAGAAGGUUUGGGGUAAGGACAGAAUGUCCCCGUCCCUGUGACUGGAGGACAAUGCUCAGAGAGCCCCAGGCUAUGGGGCUCAGAGGCUAGGGAGUGGAGCCUCCACACCUCAAGGCAAAACUGGCCCGGCUGCUGACUGAAGCUUCUCUCUGGACUUCACUUUCCUCACUUAUAAAAUGGGUGUGACAAAAUAUUUGACACCUCCGUUGUGGCUCCUUAUUGACCCUGGGUAUGACCCCACCUGUUCCUGUGACACUUAGAGCACUCCAGUAACUGGGGCACCUUCACAAGGCCGUCAGCCCUGUGUCCCGCCCCGCCAAGAGCCCACAUCCAGGGUCCCGCCCAAAAGUGCUCUCCCUUCCUUGUCAGGGCCCACGUCUAGCAGGUCUUUCCCAGUCUGCCCGUUGGAAUCCCACCCAUGCUUGCACAUCAUUCCCUCUGCAGCCUGGAGACUUCCUGAAGGUCCUCCCUCCCAGGCACCAGGUUUGGGUCCCGGCCACGGCUCCUGCGACGGCACCCCUGGGAAGUACGCAGGGCUGUCCCUCACUGGCCUGUGACUUCUUUGGGAGCAUGGCCACGGCCUCGACCCCAGGCCGGCCCAGCACAGUGCU